AUACGUAGGUGACAAGCGUUAUCCGGAUUUACUGGGCGUAAAGGGCGUGUAGGCGGUCUUGCAAGUCAGAAGUGAAAUUCCUGAGCUCAACUCGGGCGCUGCUUCUGAAACUGCAGGACUUGAGUGCUAGAGGGGAUAGCGGAAUUCCUAGUGGAGCGGUAAAAUGCGCAGAUAUUAGGAAGAACACCGGUGGCGAAGGCGGCUAUCUGGACAGUAACUGACGCUGAGGCGCGAAAGCGUGGGGAGCAAACAGGAUUAGAUACCCUGGUAGUCCACGCUGUAAACGAUGAAUACUAGGUGUAGGGGGUAUCGACUCCCUCUGUGCCGCAGUUAACACAAUAAGUAUUCCGCCUGGGGAGUACGGCCGCAAGGUUGAAACUCAAAUGAAUUGACGGGG
rnacentral:rRNA from 1 species